CUCAGUGUUAUGCUAGACUUUCCCCGCCAUUCCUUCCUGCCAGAUGUCCCAUUGCCGCCCCUGGCUGUUUCUUCGAAUCCCUCGUCUUGUCCCUGCCCUGAUAACGAACCUCAGCACUUUGUCCCCGACCAACAAAACCUCCUGCAUGACGCUGCUCCUUAAAUAGAUCUUCAUUAAUUCGAGUUUUGUGGGGUUGGCGGCCCCACCCGGAAGGUACCAGUGUCUCUAGUAUCAAAGACAGGAAGUGGGCUCCAACCAAGGCGCAGAUGCCAUAACCCCUGCAGAGGGUACAAGCGCUCUGCUCCAUCUGGACACGUAGCGGCGUGAGCGGGCGGCAGAAAACAAGCAGAGCUGAGGUGGAGAGGCGGCAGAGUGUCUGGUCGGCCGAGUUCAAAAGGGAGUAAUGAGGGAGCAGCUUUGAAGUGCAGGGAGCACAGAACAUCGAGGAGAAGACCACCUCCAUUGGAGCUCGGGUUCUAAGUGGGUCAGAUGGAUGUCCCUCUGGUGUGAGCUGUGCAUCUUGUUUCAUUGCUACUGGAGCAGGCGAAUAUCCUCCGGGCCAGCGGGUUUAUUGCGUGUCACAGCCUGUGAGAUGGGAAUACAGUCUUUGCUGCAUCUGUUGCAGACAAUAUACCUUUUGAUCAACUGCACGACAGCCAUCUCCAGACUUCUUUUCAUUCCUCUUUUCAUGCACAAGUUCAGAGAGAAGCGUAUCUAUACAAAUAUAUGUAUAUUAUCAGCACUGCUGACCGAAAGAAAGUAUCUUUUAAAUCAUCCUUCAGUUUAGACCUUUCUUUCCUUUUGCAAUUAGUUCAAAAUGCACAAGUGUGGAAUUCAAAGUGUUAUGCAGGAUUCUUUAUCACAUGCUUGAUGUUUCAUCUCACAGCAGCCUGUUGGUGAAGAUGCUACUUGUUUCAGGAUUUGAUCAAAAUCUUCUUUGCUUGUGUUAUUAAAAAAAAAAACAUGUAAUUACUGUAUCUUCUUUUGAUCCAGAAUGCACUUAAAAGUGCAGAAUGUAUGGUAUUAUGUUACAUGGUUUUACAUUAUAUUAUGGCUGUCGGACCAUGAUGAACCACAGAUGGUAAUUCAUUAUCAAUUUGACAACACAGGUUUGAUUUAUUCAAUUCACUGGCCAACGUUUUU
ensembl:lncRNA